rnacentral:lncRNA from 13 species
GGCUAACACAGUCUGGUGAGGCCUUUAGUUCAGCAGGCUAACACAGUCUGGUGAGGCCUUUAGUUCAGCAGGCUAACACAGUCUGGUGAGGUCUUUAGUUCAGCAGGCUAACACAGUCUGGUGAUGUCUUCAACAGGCUAACACAGUCUGGUGAUGUCUUUAGUUCAGCAGGCUAACACAGUCUGGUGAUGUCUUCAACAGGCUAACACAGUCUGGUGAUGUCUUUAGUUCAGCAGGCUAACACAGUCUGGUGAUGCCUUUAGUUCAGCAGGCUAACACAGUCAGAAGGACGUGUUGUUCAAACCCGGUCAGCCGGACUCCGUCCACCUUUGUCUGACUACCCAGAGUUCCACUGCAGCGGUGUGUCUGCGGUCACCUUGCAUUCCCAUCAGCCUCUCUGGCUCAUAAACACUGAUUGGUAAUACUCAGAUAUCAGCCGUGUGUGAGUGCAGAGUGCGGUGUGUUUGAUAUACUGAUAGUGAUUUACAGCUUAUAGGAAGUAGUGUGUUAGUUGGCUGUCGACACCUGUAGUGUAUCUGUGCCAACUAUGAUAAAGAAUUCUUAAACUAACGACUCAGCAGAAACACACACACACACACACACACCACACCCAUCUCUCUCACACACACACAGACACACACCCAUCUCUCUCACACACACACAGACACACACCCAUCUCACACACACACAAGUGGAGAGGGGCACGUCAAAGUACACGUUUCUUAUCAGCCCUACCUUACGUUCCCCUCAGCAGCACGCACACACACACACACUACACACAGACACACACAGUCCCCAGACCCAGACCUCCUCUGUGUGAGAGUCAGUUCCACUGUGAAUCACUAUGAUGAGGACACUACUGCUGCUGUGUGUGACUCUCUGCUGUCUGAGUGUCUCUGUGGCCGGUGACAGCUCUACCUCUCUCCCGGAGGAGAACGGGGUUCUGCUGUUGAAGAAGGACAACUUUAACCGAGCUCUCAAACAAAACAAACAGCUGCUGGUGCACUUUUCCUGGUACUGGAAUCAAUCUGCAGAGGGCUGGUGUUAACCCUAAA